rnacentral:other from 1 species
AGUACCCUGCUUUGCCCGUGAUGGAUGUGAGGCUCGCUUGAGCCAACAUUUCCAACAAGCGGACUGCUAGGUCGCGCCGUGUGCAUGCCUCCGCGCGAGGAAGCCUGACGCGCGAUCGACAAGGCGGUCCCACCUGCGUUACGCAGGUUCAAACGACCUCCCCACACGGCAAAGCGGGGCCUUU